GUCACUAUGGUUUUACGUUUUUCUUCAGUCAUGGUCUGGUAGCUGCUCAGGGAUAGGUGCCUUGUAAGCUGAGACGUGGGUUUUUGCCAGGGAGGUACAACAGUACAGGAAUGGGGCAAGGUAUAUGCAGUGGGAUGAUUAUGACAAAUCACAGAUUUAAGCCAGGGAAACAGAGAUGUGAGGAUGUGGAAGUAUGAGGCAAGAUGAAAAAUGUGGAUAGGCCUAUGGAUUAGAGGACCUGGUGUGGCCAAAUAAUUGCUGGAGUUGUUACCAGACAGAGGGAACCAGAAAGGUGAAAUGUCAUGGCUGGAAAAUGAGAUGCUCAACAUUGUGACUUUGGAGGGGGACAUUGACAGCAGAAUCAUCCUUUACAGGUCGCAAAGGACUAAAAUCUCAGCUCACCCAAUUUACAUUCCGGCAUCAUCAUCAGAUUAGCCUGAGGGGUGUUUCUCAACAGCACAAUACCGGGCUUUGAGGUAAGAAGGCUUCUUUUGAAAUGCUUUUUGUAGUCGUCCUCUAUUAACAGAGGUCAUAGUCCACACCAGCUAUAAAACUGUGCUCCAUGAAGUAGUUAAAUUACAUAAAGGUCACUAAGACAAUGCCUGUUAUGCAAUGUCACUCUACAGAUGAUGGCUUAAUUCCACUAAUCUUCCAGUCUAACCAAUCUAACAUUUUUCAGAAAUCUUAAUCUUUCAGAAAUCUAAAUCAUUUCUGAAUGAUUUAAUGAAAAUCUUAAAUAAUCCUAAAGAAAAGGCUAAUAAACUAGGAACACAGUAGAAGAUCUACAGGCAAGGCUC
rnacentral:lncRNA from 1 species